UUAGGGAAAAUGGUUAUUUAAAUGAUAGCGCCUUUACUUUUCAAUUUUAACCCCAAUUCAAACCCAAUCCAGCCCAAUUUAAAACCCAAUUUGCCUGACACAAAUUCAAGUACACCCGACCCAAACCCGCUGAACUUAACCCACCUGUUCCCCCUAUCUAAUCCGGGUCGUUGAUCUCAUAGAUCAACGGCCCAAAAUUGACUUGCCUAAUUAAAUCCCCAAAACCCCCUUAGCUCUAAUCAUUCACUCAAGUCCGCCUUUCACUCCCAAAUUCUCUCUAGGUUCUCUAAAAACCCUAGUCGCCUCACGCCUCUUCGCCGGCGUUAAUGGCCGUUCAAGGCUUGAAACUGCCAUGCUCAUCCACUCAUCACCUGUCAUGGCCUUCGGUUCGAAGAUCGGGAUAUUAUCACGGGUGUGACUGAAGAGGUCCUUAAUGGAGUUUCACAACUGUGUCAGGCCUUUCUCCGGCAAGUCUUUGAAGCCUUGGGUCCUUGCCAAGCUCCGAUGAGCCCGUUCAGGCUUUUCUCGCCGUUUUGAGGCCUUUCUAUGAAAACCCUAAUGAUUCGAGGUUCCUUUUUCAUUUUUUCUGUGUUUAUAUUGCAAUCUUCUUUAAGCUCUAGUUAUUUUCUACAAGUUUAAGUGUUUCUCAUCUCUUUCUUCACCUAGUCGUGUUUUCAAAAACUGUUCGUCUCUUCCAAAACCUAGGGUUUCUAUGACCUAACUGAUUCUUUGAAUUUUUUUUUUUUUUGCUACUGUGUGUUCUUCUCCAUGAUUUUGACAUUUUUCUACUACGAUUCUCAAGUAUCUGGCUUGACUGUAUAUUUCUAGGGUUUUCAGUCCAUGUGCUUAUGUUUCUCUUUAUGAUGUUCUGCUCUUAUUCACCUGUGCUCCGAUAUGCAGUGGAAACCCUAACCUAGAAGGGUUUCUUUCUAUAUUUCUAUGUGUAACCCUAGCCGCCUAAUUGCUUUCUUGUGUGUGUUUUGCUGCAUGUUUACUUUACUAUUUUUAGUCUCCCGUAUGUUCAAAACUUGUGCAUCUUUUAUAGUACUGUUUUUCCCCCUUUCCCUGGCACUCUAAAUUGAUUUUUUGUACAACUGUUAGAUUCUCUAAUUGCUCCUUGUUUCUUGACUAAGUUCAAACGAGUAGAAUUUUGACUCCUUGAUUUCCUGGGUGAUUACUUGCCUUACAUGUUCAACCGUGUG
rnacentral:lncRNA from 1 species